rnacentral:pre_miRNA from 1 species
AGCCCCCGGACCCACGGUGCAGUGCUGCAUCUCUGGUCAGCUGGGAGUCUGAGAUGAAGCACUGUAGCUCGGGACGGCGGCGCA